GGGGCCGACCUGGUUUCGACGUGGGUCGCAAAGCAGAGCGGGGCAUACCGAGGGUCAGAGCACCUCGUAAAUCCAACUGAAAACCAAUAGUCGCAAACGACGAAAACUACGCUCUGGCCGCUUAAUUGCGCCAGACUCUGCACCAGUCAGCCUGCGGGCUGGGCCGGGUAAAACCGGCAGCAGAGUCACUUUAGCAGGAUCGCCCCAGGCCGGGUGGCUUGGCUUGGGGUUAAAUCCAAGGCCACUCGCCUGACUCAAGCCUGUUCGGCGGGCGUGAGCCAGGUUAAAAACAAAACACCGGACUAAGUAUGUAGAACUGCCUGUAGAGGGCUUGCGGACGCGGGUUCGAUUCCCGCCGGCUCCACCA
rnacentral:tmRNA from 1 species